rnacentral:sRNA from 1 species
UAACGUUCGUAUGGGCUCCAGGAUUUCA